GGCGUAGUUGUCACUGCGCUCGCCUUGCACGCGGGAGACCCGGGUUCGAUUCCCGG
rfam:Asian citrus Psyllid, Diaphorina citri - Florida Strain, whole genome shotgun sequence.